rnacentral:rRNA from 1 species
UACGGGGGGGGCAAGCGUUGUUCGGAAUUACUGGGCGUAAAGCGUGCGCAGGCGGUCUGUUAAGACCGAUGUGAAAUCCCCGGGCUUAACCUGGGAACUGCAUUGGUGACUGGCAGGCUUUGAGUGUGGCAGAGGGAGGUAGAAUUCCACGUGUAGCAGUGAAAUGCGUAGAGAUGUGGAGGAAUACCGAUGGCGAAGGCAGCCUCCUGGGCCAACACUGACGCUCAUGCACGAAAGCGUGGGGAGCAAACAGG